GAUUAGAAUUAAAAGCGAAUUUUGUGUAAAUGUCUCAAGAACUGGAGAGUGUAGCGACUUCACAAAUGGGUGGCAGCAUGUGAGAUGCCUGCUAUAUGAAUACCAGAAAUCCUUCUCUAUGCCUCAACCCCCUGUUCUGGGCUGGGCAGACACUUUCAUCCCAUGUGGGAAGCUCCCCUAGGAGCAUACACAGAGCCAGGUGCAGUGUCAGGGGCUGGGUGCCCUGUCCACUGGAUGGGCUCAGCCCCAACCCAAUGACUUGUAUCAGGGUGCUUGCCCAUACCAAUAGCUCCCCCUAAUUCCUAUCAUUCCUCCAACUCUGUAGUCUUUUUGUGCCAAAACUUGAAAGAGCCCAACCCAACAAAACUUUAAAUUGAUUUUGUAACUUGUGGCAUAGUACUUACUAUUUUGCCAGUCUGGCAACAUCCCAUUACUGCCUUGACUGGCUUUCUUCUCUCUCAGGCUGAUCCUGUGUCACAGAGCCACAUAGAUGAGCAGCUACCCAUCGUAGGAUGCACACUCAACCUCCUGCUAGUUUCUGAGCCAAGUCAGCUUGACAGAGGGGUCUGCUAAUGCACAGCCAUCUAGCCAGUAGCCCCUGCUGACUAACAGAUGCUGGCUGGGACAGACGCUCAUCAAAGGCUCGUUGCUGUCGGCGGUUCUGAAGACAGCGGUUCGAUCCAGCUGAAGGACGUCACCUGGCAGAAAGUUGCAGAGUGUGGUGGCCAGUAUCAAGCCACAUUGUCCAGAAACCAUCACAUUAUCUCCAGGUCACUAGUCGCCGGUGCUCGAGCUGAUGGCGUCGUUCAAGGGCUCCACGCUGCCGCCGCCGCCGCGACCAUCCGACUCCUGGGCCCUGUUUCACGGCAGCGUACUGCAGCGCGCUACGCAGCGCUGCUGUGUUAGUGCGGCGAUUGAGACGAAUUCGGCUCGACGCUCCAGCGUUGCGAAACACCCGUGUCUAUGAAGGAUACGCCGAUACGUCCCCCAGCUUCAAGCCCUUCCUGCCCCCCCCCCCCGCCCCGUCCCAACGGUGUUGGCCGAGAUUGGGGUUUGGUAUUGUAACGGGCUCUCCGAUGACGUCCCGCAAUUUGUGUUAUAUAAUUUGACGAUUAUGUCGUAGUCUCAUUCUGUCUCGAUAUGCUAAUAAAUGAUAAAUGGGACGGAGGUUGGAAGUAAGGUGUGAGUGGCUGUAACCGGCAGGUUUUGGCGAGCGCGAUAUUAGUUAUCGUGAGCGCGCCAGCUGCAAUCAAUCGCGCGCUUCUGGCGAGAAAAUACUUGCUCUGGAACCUAGAAGUUUGUCGUGAAAUCUAUGUACCUUUGGAUUGAAUUAUUAGAACAUAAUGUACUUUCGGUGUCCAGCACUGCAGCUCUGGAAACAGAAAUAUGGAUGUUGGCUGUUUGAUGUAGCAAGGGCUAACAAUCCGCGUCAAGAAUCAAAAGCUGUAUGCAAAUUAAAGUGAAUAUAUUUCAAUGAAUUUUUUAAUUUUGUGAUACAAAACAUAAAUGUGUCAACUACUGAUUACACCCGGCUGCAAACACUGUAACGCUUGCAAUGCUGUACGGCAAAUAGAUAAUAUAGAUUCUC